rnacentral:rRNA from 1 species
UACGAAGGGGGCUAGCGUUGUUCGGAAUUACUGGGCGUAAAGGGCGCGUAGGCGGCUCUGCUAGUCGAGUGUGAAAUGCCUGGGCUCAACCCAGGAAUUGCGCUCGAUACUUCAGGGCUCGAGUGUGGGAGAGGUUGGUGGAAUUCCCAGUGUAGAGGUGAAAUUCGUAGAUAUUGGGAAGAACACCGGUGGCGAAGGCGGCCAACUGGACCACAACUGACGCUGAGGCGCGAAAGCGUGGGGAG